UCUUCUCCUCAAGGGUAAUCUUAACCUAUCCUAUUUGGCGGCCUUCAAUCUUAUUAGAGGAACUUGUUGUUUAACCGAUGAUACGCGAUAUUUUUAACUUAGACCUAAUUUUUAUACCUCCGUCCAAAGGAUAAAAUUAAAUAUUUUAUUCAUUCCACACCUCUUCAAGUAACAAUGUCAGGUCGAGGUGAAGUAAAUGUUUAAGUUUCAAUGAGUUAUCAAUAAAUAUAAUUUAUGGACUUUUGUUUAAAACUAGAAAUCGAAUUAAGAUUUAAAAGUAUUUUCAGUUCAGUACAUUGGAAAGAAUAAGCAAAAAAGGUGUACAUAUCGCCCGUCGCCCUCGUCUAAAGAGGAGGUAAGUCGUAACACAGUUAAUAUACUGGAAAGUGUAUUAGGUGAAUUUCUUCUUAGCUUUUAGUAUUUCAUUUACACUGAAAAGAUCCCAUUUUUAUUCAUUUCCAAUUUUUCAUGAAUAAAAUCUUUGCGCUUUUACUUAUCUAAUUCAAGCUUUCAAAAACUGAAAAGGUUCAUCAUAAUAUUAUUUAAGUAAAUAUAUGUACCUUUUGUAUCAGGGAUUUUCUAAUCGUAAUGUGAACUCCAAACUCCCGAAACAAGACGAUCUUCGCAUCCUAGUAAAAGUUAUGGCAUAAACAAUAUAAACUCUGCGAAGUUGAGAUAUUCUUUUCAAGUCUUCCCUUAUCUGGUUCACUCCCCCCCCUCAUUUAGCAUUAUACAAAGAAUAAGCUUAGUAUUCAAGGUUUUUCACCUUUCCUCACCUUAAUCUAGAUUUAACAGUAUCCACAUUGUUUUCAAACUCUUUCCUUUUACCAUCUAAACAUACCCUGAGUGAUCUACCCCACCCCUUUACAAUGAAAAUAUCAGUAAAAUUUUUUCCUUUUCCCUAUUUCUUUGAAACCCUUUCCCUCCCUGUAAAUUUACAUUGAGAUCAUGAACUAGGCCCUCAAUCAAUUGACUGUUUACCAAAAACAUAGCUAAUAGGUUUCAAUUACUAGUAGUACCUGCUCCAUGAAAAAUAAAUAGCCGCAAA
rnacentral:rRNA from 1 species